rnacentral:tRNA from 1 species
CCUUCGAUAGCUCAGUUGGUAGAGCGGAGGACUGUAGUGGAUGAGCAAUGGCAAUCCUUAGGUCGCUGGUUCGAUUCCGGCUCGAAGGA